GAAUGAGGUUAGCAUGGUAGAGUGCGUUGAAAUUGAACUUGCAUGGUCAACGUUUCUGCUCUGUCUGAUGCAUAGCUUUGAGGUUUGAGGGCCUGGUUUCAACAACCUAUC
rfam:Populus trichocarpa isolate Nisqually-1 chromosome 12, whole genome shotgun sequence.